GAUGAACGCUGGCGGCGUGCCUAAUACAUGCAAGUCGAGCGAACAGACGCGGAGCUUGCUCCUCUGACGUUAGCGGCGGACGGGUGAGUAACACGUGGAUAACCUACCUAUAAGACUGGGAUAACUUCGGGAAACCGGAGCUAAUACCGGAUAAUAUAUUGAACCGCAUGGUUCAAUAGUGAAAGACGGUUUUGCUGUCACUUCUAGAUGGAUCCGCGCCGCAUUAGCUAGUUGGUAAGGUAACGGCUUACCAAGGCAACGAUGCGUAGCCGACCUGAGAGGGUGGUCGGCCACACUGGAACUGAGACACGGUCCAGACUCCUACGGGAGGCAGCAGUAGGGAAUCUUCCGCAGUGGGCGGAAGCCUUACGGAGCAACGCCACGUCAGUGAUGGAGGUCUUCGGAUCGUAAAACUCUGUUUUUAGGGAAGAACAAAUGUGUAAUUAACUAUGCACGUCUUGACGGUACCUAAUCAGAAAGCCACGGCUAACUACGUG
rnacentral:rRNA from 1 species